GGUGUAGCAACGAACGGUGUAACAACUUGCUACGAGCUUAUUCAGUUAAUUAUUGUCAUCAAUUUGUUAACAACUGCAGAAGACACUUGUUGGAAUUGCAACUUGUUGCGAGUCUGUUGGCCUCAUCAACUACCGUGAUAUAUAAACACCUUGUUGAUAACAGACUUGUCGACAACAAUGCGAACAGAUCGAUAUUGUUGACAAGCUGUGAUAUUUUUACCAGUAUAGUGAUGCCCGCCUGUGGUGAACGAAAUAGCAUAAUUCAUGUGUGGGCGCCCAUAUAUGGACAGCAAACAACUGUAGGAAAUCCAGGUAUUGUC